rnacentral:rRNA from 1 species
AGUGAACGCUGGCGGCGUGCUUAACACAUGCAAGUCGAACGAGAACGGAUUAUAGCUUGCUAUAAUUGUCAGCUAAGUGGCGCACGGGUGAGUAAUAUAUAGAUAACCUGCCCUCUAGAAAGGAAUAACAGUUGGAAACGACUGCUAAUGCCCUAUAUGCCUUUAAUACAUAAGUAUGCAAGGGAAACGCUUUAGUGCUAGAGGAUGGGUCUGUAUGGUAUCAGCUUGUUGGUGAGGUAAUGGCUCACCAAGGCUAUGACGCCUAACUGGUUUGAGAGGAUGAUCAGUCACACUGGAACUGAGACACGGUCCAGACUCCUACGGGAGGCAGCAGUGGGGAAUAUUGCACAAUGGACGAAAGUCUGAUGCAGCAACGCCGCGUGGAGGAUGACACAUUUCGGUGCGUAAACUCCUUUUAUAUAGGAAGAUAAUGACGGUACUAUAUGAAUAAGCA